rnacentral:rRNA from 1 species
GACGAACGCUGGCGGCGUGCUUAACACAUGCAAGUCGAACGGAAAGGCCCUGCUUUUGUGGGGUGCUCGAGUGGCGAACGGGUGAGUAACACGUGAGUAACCUGCCCUUGACUUUGGGAUAACUUCAGGAAACUGGGGCUAAUACCGGAUAGGAGCUCCUGCUGCAUGGUGGGGGUUGGAAAGUUUCGGCGGUUGGGGAUGGACUCGCGGCUUAUCAGCUUGUUGGUGGGGUAGUGGCUUACCAAGGCUUUGACGGGUAGCCGGCCUGAGAGGGUGACCGGCCACAUUGGGACUGAGAUACGGCCCAGACUCCUACGGGAGGCAGCAGUGGGGAAUAGUGCACAAUGGGCGGAAGCCUGAUGCAGCAACGCCGCGUGCGGGAUGACGGCCUUCGGAUUGUAAACCGCUUUCGCCUGUGACGAAGCGUGAGUGACGGUAAUGGGUAAAGAAGCACCGGCUAACUACGUG